UACGUAGGGAGCAAGCGUUGUCCGGAAUCAUUGGGCGUAAAGCGCGCGUAGGUGGCCAUGUAAGUCCGCUGUGAAAGUCAAAGGCUCAACCUUUGAAAGCCGGUGGAUACUGCAUGGCUAGAGUACGGAAGAGGCGAGUGGAACUCCUGGUGUAGCGGUGGAAUGCGCAGAUAUCAGGAGGAACACCAAUAGCGAAGGCAGCUCGCUGGGACGUUACUGACACUGAGGCGCGAAAGCGUGGGGAGCGAACAGG
rnacentral:rRNA from 1 species